AGUCCCACCAAGGUGUGAAUUCUGCACAUGGACCCAGCUUUCAGCUACUAUUGGUCAGUGUGACCUAUGACCCGUGACGUCACAACACCAACAAGACCUCAGCCCAACUUCUGUUUCUCUGGACUCUCCACAGCAGCUGUCUCCCAGUGCGUCCUGCUCAGAUUGGACACACAGGAGAACCGAACUCUCUAUCUUACAGCAGCGAUACAAGUGCCUGCCUAAGACCCCUGCAAACCAGCUCAGUUAGCCAGGGGCCCCAUACACAAAGUUUUCCUGAUAGGUUCACAUGCCAAUAGAAGCAACAAAGUAGCUUUUCACCUAGCGGUUUAACUCUGAGGAGAACAGACAGAGUGACUGGGUCCUCCAUCAGCGCACUUGGAAAACACACACAGCAAAAGACUGCAACUGAACUUCCCUGCCUGGCUAACCUACAACAGAACCACAAGCUAACAACUAGCACACCAAAGCAACAUCUCUUCUUCCACAGACAGUUACACCAAGAGGAGCAAACAACAAAAAGACAAACAGCAUAAAGCAACAGAAGAGAGGAGGAGAAGGGGAUUAAAGGAAGAGAGGAUA